GUUAGGAGCCCUGGCUUCCCGUGGUGGCACCGUGCUGAGCAGCUGUGCAGCCUUCGGCAGGGGCCAUGUUCCCAUGUCCCUGUCCCGAUUCCUCGAGAUCAAGCCUCGUGCGCAUGUGGGGCUGAUGCCUGGAUAAGACCACGCAAGGGACUGGCUUGGGCAGGCAGGACUGCUGGGGCCAGAGGGAUUUCAGGGACCCUAGCGGGCAAAGUUUUGGUUCAACUCAAGAGGAAACUCAGGCCUAACAGGGAGGUGACGGGGAGCCCUGGCCAGAUCUGUCCUCCAGUCCCAAAGCAUCAUUCUGAUACCUUGGGUGAGCUCCACCCCAGCCCUGCAGACGGAGGCAGCGUGUCUCCCCUCCCCUCAAGACCAGGGGCCCCGUGUCCCACCCUGCCGCCUUCACUGCCAAGCUGAGACCUGGGGCUGAGGGAGACCUCAAAACGAAGGAGCAGAUGAGUAACUUACACAGGAAAGGGGAGGCAGGAUGAUGCUCGAAUCCUCACUAGGGAAGGACUCAGUCUUCCUUCCCGAAGUUCAGUCCCUUCCUCUUGCCCCUCCAGGCAGGGCCUGUCAAGCUCAGCCCUUCGGUCUUCUCAGCAGCUUCUCCCCAACCCAGACCUUCAGAGCGAGCAGAAGGCCCAGCUUCGUCCCGCAAACCCAGCUCCUUCGGCCACGCUGACCCUGGCAGCCCUCCGGGUCUCCCUGCUACCUCCCCCAGCUGCCCCUGCACCUUUCGAGCUCUCCAAGCCCAUGCAGCGGUCUGGAUGAGGUGCCCUGCAGCCGGGGGAGGGUGGGCCACAGCCCCACCGAGAGGACUGGGCAGAGAAGUACAGAGCUGAGCUUGCCAGGCCCUGCCACUCCCCACAGGCCCCACAACUUCGCCUCAAAGGACUAGGGCUUCUGGGACCAAAGCUCAGCACCCCAGGGGCCACAGGUGUCGGGGAGGCACUGAAACCGUGUCUUUCUGGGCACCUCGCGCCUCCAUGCAUCUGUAACCCUGACCGGGGUAGGACUGCCUCCUCUGCUCUCAUCUGCCCGAGCCCUGCUCUGGCCCCUCCAACAGCGUCCAUGCUGCUUGGAUCCCUGUCUACAUCCCUCCCAUCUCCCUCCUUUAGCCCCCUGGUGAUUGCUGCCACCCCUAUUUUAGCCAAGUAUCCCCGGCUCCCAGUACUGAGGAUUGAACCCAAGGGGCCCUUGGUUUUUGGGUUGUUUGGGUUUGGUUUUUGAGACAAAGUAUCACUUUGUAAUUCAGAAUGGGCUUGAGUUUGCAGAGAUCCUCCUGCCUCAGCCUCCUGUGUAGCUGGGAUUCUAUGUAGGUGUGCACCGCCUCCUUGGUCCAAGUAUCAUGACUGUUGCUGAUCUCUCCUGCAUCUGUCUUGUUUCCUGUUUACCUACAGAACGGAGGCUCCCACCUCCAGGAAGCCCUCCCAGUAGAGUCUAUCUUCUAACCUGAUAGCAUUUCCCUUGGUGACCAGGAAAUCCCAACCACCAAGAAACAAUGCCAUCUCUGGAAGGACUAAAAAGUGACUUUUUAAAAAAUGCAGUUUAAGACUACCUGAGAAUGAAGUGGGCCAGAGGCCCGAGACCCUGAGGACUCUCCAGCCUAAUUCUGCCCGUUCCCAGAAGACUGGGUGUCUCCCUCUCCUCCCAGCCUGGAGCACAUCCUGCUGCACCUCAGUCCAGGCCCUAAGGACCUUUGAUGGCACAAACCCAGCUGAGAUGGUGGAUAAGAGGAAAAAGCAAAGCAAAGGUGGAGGUGGCUCAGAGGCGUCUGGGGACACCACACAAGCUGGCACUGGGGGCAAGGCAAGGGUUAAAGCUGAAAUGCCAAGUGAGGAGGAGGCAGCAUCUGAAAGGAAGGCAGCCCUGCCACCCCAGACAACAUCCGAACAGCACAGCACAAGAGGGCAGCACUGCUCAGUCUGGAGAUGAAGUUCCCCAUUCCGCUGCUCUGCUGAAUGCAGCAUUACAUGGCGCCCCAGAAAUCCGACCAA